rnacentral:rRNA from 1 species
CCUACGGGUGGCAGCAGUAGGGAAUUUUGCGCAAUGGGGGAAACCCUGACGCAGCAACGCCGCGUGAUCGAUGAAGCCCUUCGGGGUGUAAAGAUCUGUCAGUGGGGACGAAAACUGACGGUACCCACAGAGGAAGCACCGGCUGACUCCGUGCCAGCAGCCGCAGUAAUACGGGGGGGGCAAGCGUUGUCCGGAAUCAUUGGGCGUAAAGGGUUUGUAGGUGGCAAGUGACGUCUGGUGUUAAAGGUGGAAGCUCAAAUUCCGUAGGGCACUGGAUACUGGCGGGCUUGAAUGCGGUAGAGGUAAGGGGAAUUCCUGGUGUAGCGGUGAAAUGCGUAGAUAUCAGGAAGAACAUCGGUGGCGAAGGCGCUUUACUGGGCCGUAAUUGACGCUGAGGAACGAAAGCCGGGGUAGCAAAUGGGAUUAGAUACCCUAGUAGUC